rnacentral:rRNA from 1 species
UCGAGAAUAUUCGUCAAUGCCCGAAAGGGUGAACGAGCGAUGCCGCGUGCGGGAUGAAGGCCUUCGGGUCGUAAACCGCUUUUUUCAGGGAGCAAUUUCGAUGAGAGUACCUGGAGAAUAAGAGGUUACUAACUCUGUGCCAGCAGUAGCGGUAAUACAGAGACCUCAAGCGUUAUCCGGAUUUAUUGGGCGUAAAGAGUGGGUAGGUGGGUAUGCUUGUCGGAUGUCAAAUCCUUCGACUCAAUCGAAGAACCGCAUUCGAAACGGCAUAUCUUGAGGCGGCGAGAGACCAGUGGAAUUCACGGUGUAGUAGUGAAAUGCGUUGAUAUCGUGAAGAACACCAAAGGCGAAGGCAGCUGGUUGGCGCCGAUCUGACACUGAGCCACGAAAGCGUGGGGAG